AGCAGCCGCGGUAAUUCCAGCUCCAAUAGCGUAUAUUAAAGUUGUUGCAGUUAAAAAGCUCGUAGUUGAAUUUUGGAUUCUGCCAGUUGGUCCAUCUUUUGAUGAGUACUGAUUGUGUGGGGUCUAUCCGCCUGGUGAUACGUAAUGUACUUUAUUGUAUGUUACGGGUAGUCAGGACCUUUACCUUGAAAAAAUUAGAGUGUUUAAAGCAGGCUUAUGCCGGAAUACAUUAGCAUGGAAUAAUAGAAUAGGACGAAGUUGUUUUAUUUUGUUGGUUUCUAGGACAACCGUAAUGAUUAAUAGGGAUAGUUGGGGGCAUUAGUAUUCAAUUGUCAGAGGUGAAAUUCUUGGAUUUAUUGAAGACUAACUACUGCGAAAGCAUUUGCCAAGGAUGUUUUCAUUAAUCAAGAACGAAAGUUAGGGGAUCGAAGACGAUCAGAUACCGUCGUA
rnacentral:rRNA from 1 species